CACCGCGGCCAUACAAGAAGCUCAAACUAACAAACAACGGCGUAAAAUGUGACUAAAAUAAUCUAAAAAAUUAAGGUAAAACCAUUACUUAACUGUUAUACGUAAAAGUACACACUUACACACUAUGAAAAUAACCUUAAUAAAAUAGAUCUAUUCGAACUCACGAUUGCUAAGACA
rnacentral:rRNA from 1 species